AGAGUUUGAUCAUGGCUCAGGAUGAACGCUGGCGGCGUGCUUAACACAUGCAAGUCGAACGGGAAUGCUUCGCUGAUGCGAUUUCGGUCAAAUCUUGAAGCAUUUUAGUGGCGGACGGGUGAGUAACGCGUGGGUAACCUGCCCUGUACAGGGGGACAAUAGUUGGAAACGACUGCUAAUACCGCAUAAGCGCACAGCUUCGCAUGAAGCAGUGUGAAAAACUCCGGUGGUACAGGAUGGACCCGCGUCUGAUUAGAUAGUUGGUGAGGUAACGGCCCACCAAGUCAACGAUCAGUAGCCGGCCUGAGAGGGCGAACGGCCACAUUGGGACUGAGACACGGCCCAAACUCCUACGGGAGGCAGCAGUGGGGAAUAUUGCACAAUGGGGGAAACCCUGAUGCAGCGACGCCGCGUGAGUGAAGAAGUAUUUCGGUAUGUAAAGCUCUAUCAGCAGGGAAGAAAACAAUGACGGUACCUGACUAAGAAGCCCCGGCUAACUACGUGCCAGCAGCCGCGGUAAUACGUAGGGGGCAAGCGUUAUCCGGAUUUACUGGGUGUAAAGGGAGCGUAGACGGUAGACCAAGUCUGAAGUGAAAGCCCGGGGCUCAACCCCGGAACUGCUUUGGAAACUGGUAAACUAGAGUGCAGGAGAGGUAAGUGGAAUUCCUAGUGUAGCGGUGAAAUGCGUAGAUAUUAGGAGGAACACCAGUGGCGAAGGCGGCUUACUGGACUGUAACUGACGUUGAGGCUCGAAAGCGUGGGGAGCAAACAGGAUUAGAUACCCUGGUAGUCCACGCCGUAAACGAUGAGCACUAGGUGUCGGGGUCGUAAGACUUCGGUGCCGCAGUUAACGCAAUAAGUGCUCCGCCUGGGGAGUACGUUCGCAAGAAUGAAACUCAAAGGAAUUGACGGGGACCCGCACAAGCAGCGGAGCAUGUGGUUUAAUUCGAAGCAACGCGAAGAACCUUACCAGGGCUUGACAUCCCUCUGACAUACCUGUAACGGGGUAUUUCUACGGACAGAGGAGACAGGUGGUGCAUGGUUGUCGUCAGCUCGUGUCGUGAGAUGUUGGGUUAAGUCCCGCAACGAGCGCAACCCUUGUCAUUAGUUGCCAGCAGUAAGAUGGGCACUCUAAUGAGACUGCCGGGGACAACUCGGAGGAAGGUGGGGAUGACGUCAAAUCAUCAUGCCCCUUAUGUUCUGGGCUACACACGUGCUACAAUGGUCGGUACAGAGAGGAAGCGAACUCGUGAGGGGGAGCGAAUCUAUAAAACCGAUCCCAGUUCGGAUUGCAGGCUGCAACUCGCCUGCAUGAAGUCGGAGUUGCUAGUAAUCGCAGAUCAGAAUGCUGCGGUGAAUGCGUUCCCGGGUCUUGUACACACCGCCCGUCACACCAUGGAAGUUGGGGGCGCCCGAAGUUGGCAGAGAAAUAUGUUACCUAAGGCGAAAUCAAUGACUGGGGUGAAGUCGUAACAAGGUA
rnacentral:rRNA from 1 species